UACGUAGGGGGCAAGCGUUGUCCGGAAUUAUUGGGCGUAAAGCGCGCGCAGGCGGUUCUUUAAGUCAGAUGUGAAAGCCCACGGCUCAACCGUGGAGGGUCAUUGGAAACUGGGGGACUUGAGUGCAGGAGAGAAGAGUGGAAUUCCACGUGUAGCGGUGAAAUGCGUAGAGAUGUGGAGGAACACCAGUGGCGAAGGCGACUCUUUGGCCUGUAACUGACGCUGAGGCGCGAAAGCGUGGGGAGCAAACAGG
rnacentral:rRNA from 1 species